rnacentral:rRNA from 1 species
AGCUCCAGUAGCGUAUAUUAAAGUUGUUGCAGUUAAAAAGCUCGUAGUUGGACUUGGGUUUGGGCUUGAGCACUUGGUGUGACUUUAUGUUAGACUUGAGUGCCUGCCUGGACUUUUUGCGAGAUUUUGCUGCUGUUCUUGAUUGAAUGGUAGUAUAAUAUUUCGCACAUUUACUGUGAGAAAAUUAGAGUGUUCAAAACAAUACUACAGCAUGGAAUAAUGAGAUAAGACUUUGUCUUGCCUGAUUGGUUUUACGAAACAAAGUAAUGAUUGAUAGGGAUAGCUGGGGGUGCUAGUAUUCAGCGGCCAGAGGUGAAAUUCAUGGAUUCGCUGAAGACUAACUUAUGCGAAAGCAUUCACCAAGGAUGUCUUCUUUA